rnacentral:rRNA from 1 species
UUGAGAGCUUGCUCUCAUGAGAGUGGCGCACGGGUGAGUAACGCGUAUGCAACCUACCUUUAACUGAGGGAUAGCCCAUAGAAAUGUGGAUUAAUACCUCAUAGUUCUUUAGUUCCGCAUGGGAUUGAAGAUAAAGCUCCGGCGGUUAAAGAUGGGCAUGCGUGACAUUAGCUAGUUGGUAAGGUAACGGCUUACCAAGGCUACGAUGUCUAGGGGUUCUGAGAGGAUGAUCCCCCACACUGGUACUGAGACACGGACCAGACUCCUACGGGAGGCAGCAGUGAGGAAUAUUGGUCAAUGGGCGCAAGCCUGAACCAGCCAUCCCGCGUGCAGGAUGAAGGCCCUAUGGGUCGUAAACUGCUUUUAUACGCCAAGAAAAAACAGGACGUGUCCUGGACUGACGGUAGUGUAUGAAUAAGCAUCGGCUAACUCCGUGCCAGCAGCCGCGGUAAUACGGAGGAUGCAAGCGUUAUCCGGAUUCAUUGGGUUUAAAGGGUGCGUAGGCGGCUUUUUAAGUCAGUGGUGAAAUCCUGCCGCUUAACGGUAGAAUUGCCAUUGAUACUGAAGAGCUUGAGUACAGUUGAGGUAAGCGGAAUGUGUAGUGUAGCGGUGAAAUGCUUAGAUAUUACACAGAACACCAAUUGCGAAGGCAGCUUACUAAACUGAUACUGACGCUGAUGCACGAAAGCGUGGGGAGCGAACAGGAUUAGAUACCCUGGUAGUCCACGCCGUANACGAUGUUCACUCGCUGUUUGCGAUACACAGCNAGCGGCCAAGCGAAAGCAUUAAGUGAACCACCUGGGGAGUACGAUCGCAAGGU